rnacentral:piRNA from 1 species
UGUUAGCUUGCGGAUAUCAAGGUGAUGGU